GACAGAGGGUGCAAACGUUUGUUCGGAAUUACUGGGCGUAAAGCGCGUGUAGGCGGCCAUCUAAGUCGGGCGUGAAAUCCCACGGCUCAACCGUGGAAGUGCACUCGAAACUGGAUGGCUAGAGUCCUGGAGAGGAAGGUGGAAUGCUUGGUGUAGAGGUGAAAUUCGUAGAUAUCAAGCGGAACACCGGUGGCGAAGGCGGCCUUCUGGACAGUGACGUGACGCUGAGACGCGAAAGCGUGGGGAGCAAACAGG
rnacentral:rRNA from 1 species